CCCUUAGAUGUCCUGGGCCGCACGCGCGCUACACUGAGUGUCUGAGAUACGAGUCUGCCUGGUCCGGCAAGGUCUAGGUAAUCGCUAAAAGACACAUCAUGCUUGGGAUAGAUUAUUGCAAAUAUUAAUCUUGAACGAGGAAUUCCUAGUAAGCGCAAGUCAACAGCUUGCGUUGAUUACGUCCCUGCCCUUUGUACACACCGCCCGUCGCUACUACUGAUUGGAUGUUUAAGCGAGGUCCUCGAACUGCUAGCGACUUAGCUUCGGUGAGGUCGCAGUGUGGGAAGUGAACCUAGCUUUGGUGUCUAGAGGAAGUAAAAGUCGUAACA
rnacentral:rRNA from 1 species